rnacentral:rRNA from 1 species
UAAUACAUGCAAGUCGAACGCUUUGUCUUUAAUUGAUCUGACGAGCUUGCUCUGAUUUGAUUUUAUCUGACAAAGAGUGGCGAACGGGUGAGUAACACGUGGGUAACCUACCUCUUAGCAGGGGAUAACAUUUGGAAACAAGUGCUAAUACCGUAUAAUACCAACAACCGCAUGGUUGUUGGUUGAAAGAUGGUUCUGCUAUCACUAAGAGAUGGACCCGCGGUGCAUUAGCUAGUUGGUAAGGUAACGGCUUACCAAGGCAAUGAUGCAUAGCCGAGUUGAGAGACUGAUCGGCCACAAUGGGACUGAGACACGGCCCAUACUCCUACGGGAGGCAGCAGUAGGGAAUCUUCCACAAUGGGCGCAAGCCUGAUGGAGCAACGCCGCGUGUGUGAUGAAGGGUUUCGGCUCGUAAAACACUGUUAUAAGAGAAGAACGGCACUGAGAGUAACUGUUCAGUGUGUGACGGUAUCUUACCAGAAAGGAACGGCUAAAUACGUGCCAGCAGCCGCGGUAAUACGUAUGUUCCAAGCGUUAUCCGGAUUUAUUGGGCGUAAAGCGAGCGCAGACGGUUAUUUAAGUCUGAAGUGAAAGCCCUCAGCUCAACUGAGGAAUGGCUUUGGAAACUGGAUGACUUGAGUGCAGUAGAGGAAAGUGGAACUCCAUGUGUAGCGGUGAAAUGCGUAGAUAUAUGGAAGAACACCAGUGGCGAAGGCGGCUUUCUGGACUGUAACUG